rnacentral:rRNA from 1 species
UACGGAGGGUGCGAGCGUUGUCCGGAAUCAUUGGGCGUAAAGGGCGCGUAGGUGGCUCUCUAAGCGGGCGGUGAAAGCCUGGGGCUCAACCCCGGGUCGGCCGUGCGAACUGGAGGGCUUGAGCACUGUAGAGGCAGGCGGAAUUCCGGGUGUAGCGGUGGAAUGCGUAGAGAUCCGGAAGAACACCGGUGGCGAAGGCGGCCUGCUGGGCAGUUUGCUGACACUGAGGCGCGACAGCGUGGGGAGCAAACAGG